rfam:Oryza brachyantha chromosome 6, whole genome shotgun sequence.
AAUAACCUCAUUUUUCGUUUUUCCGUGGCCAACGUUUGACCAUUUGUCUUAUUUGAAAAAAUUUGUGCAAAAACCUAAAAAAAUUAGUCACGUAUAAAUUACUAUUCAUAUUUUAUCAUCUAAUAAUAAUAAAAAUAUUAAUUGCAAAAAACUUCAAAUAAGACGAAUGGUCAAACGUUGGACACGAAAAAC